rnacentral:rRNA from 1 species
UUGAGGGAAGCUGCUCCUAGUACGAGAGGACCGGAGUGGACGAACCUCUGGUGUUCCGGUUGUCACGCCAGUGGCAUUGCCGGGUAGCUAUGUUCGGAAGGGAUAACCGCUGAAAGCAUCUAAGCGGGAAGCCCCUCCCAAGAUUAGAUCUCUCAACACUUGAUGUUGUAAGGGCCCUUGUAGACUACAAGGUUGAUAGGCUGGGUGUGGAAGCACAGUAAUGUGUGAAGCUAACCAGUACUAAUUGCCCGAGUGGCUUGGUCAU